rnacentral:rRNA from 1 species
AUUGAACGCUGGCGGCAGGCCUAACACAUGCAAGUCGAACGAGUGGCGGACGGGUGUGUAAUGUCUGGGAAACUGCCUGAUGGAGGGGGAUAUCUACUGGAAACGGUCGCUAAUACCGCAUACCAGCGGAUGUGCCCAGAUGGGAUUCGCUUGUUGGUGGGGUAACGGCUCACCGAGGCGACGAUCCCUAGCUGGUCUGAGAGGAUGACCAGCCACACUGGAACUGAGACACGGUCCAGACUCCUACGGGAGGCAGCAGUGGGGAAUAUUGCACAAUGGGCGCAAGCCUGAUGCAGCCAUGCCGCGUGUAUGAAGAAGGCCUUCGGGUUGUAAAGCACUUUCAGCGGGGAGGCGUUACCCGCAGAAGAAGCACCGGCUAACUCCGUGCCAGCAGCCGCGGUAAUUC